UGUGUAUAAACGAAGCGACUCGUUCAGAAGUGUGCGUCUGGUCUGUGGUUCACCUGAAGGUUUUAUGCUGCGAGCCGAGGUGAAGAACAACAGCAGAGAUGAAGAAGAAGAUUAUUAUCCUGGCUUUUUCUGUUUGGUCAUGUCAGGCGGUGAUGGGUCAGUCAUCGUGUACUGCACCAGUUGUUCCAAACGCUAAGCCGAAAAAUGAGCUGGCAGCAUCCUAUCCCACUGGAAGCUUUAUCAGAUAUGUAUGUGACAGUGGCUAUGAGUUUGUAGAAACACAUUAUGCGCUGUGUGAAGAUGGAACUUGGAAUCUGCCCGUUUGUAAACUUCAGACAUCAUGUACUGUCCCAUUUGUGCCGAACGCCGAGCUCGCAGACGAGUUUACAGCGGCGCUCUAUCCUACUGGAAGCUCCGUCCGGUUUGUAUGUGACCGCGGCUCCGAGUUCGAAGGAACCAAAUAUGCACUGUGCAAAGAUGGGACUUGGAAGCUGCCGGUGUGUAAAAUUCUGGAUCAUGCACGGUGUGCUUCCCCACGCGUUCCGAACGCGCGACCUGCAGAUGCGUUAGCAAAAUCCUAUCCAUCUGGAAGCUUGGUUAGAUUCGGAUGCGACCGCGGCUACGGGUUCGAAGGGACGGAUUCUGCACAGUGUGAAGAAGGAGUCUGGACGCUGCCAGUGUGUAAAGACGUUCCAUUUUUAGUUCUAGAUCAAGCACCGUGUAGUGCUGCCCCGCGUGUUCCGAAUGCCAGACCUGCGGACGCGUUAGCAGAAUCCUAUCCAUCUGGAAGCUCUGUCCGAUUCGGAUGUGACGGCGGCUACGAGUUCGAAGGGACGGAUUCUGCACAGUGUGAAGAUGGAGUCUGGACGCUGCCGGUGUGUAAAGAUGUAAAAUCCUGUCUUGCCCCGAGUGUGCCGAAUGGCCAGCCUGCAAAUGCGUUAAAAACGUUGUACGGUCCUGGAGAAACUCUUCGAUUUGUAUGCGACAGCGGUUAUGAAUUUGAAGGAACACGUUACGCGGUUUGUGACGAUGGAUCUUGGAGGCUGCCGGUGUGUAAAGUUCUAGAUGCGGCGUGCGCUGCCCCACACGUGCCAAACGCCAAACCUGAAAACGAGUUAGCAGCGUCCUAUCCUGCAGGAAGCACUGUAAGAUUUGGAUGUGACGGCGGCUACGAGAUUGAAGGAACACGAUAUGCGCUUUGUGAAGAUGGAACUUGGAGGCUGCCGGUGUGUACGCUUCCAUGUACACUGGAUAGGACACGUUUUACUUCUAGUCAAGCUGACGAAGGAGGGCGAAGAGAAGACGUUUUAGGCUAGUAGAAUCACGUAAGAAAAGAACCGUCAGCUGCUUAAAUGGAAGAAUUAUUUAUUUCGAACGUCACUUAAUGAGCAGUGUAAGUACUACACUGGAUCGACAGCUAAAUCUGGAGAAAAAAACCAUACAUCUUCAGAGCUCCUACUUCUGAUCAGAAAUCUUACUCCUGCUCCCUUUUGAACACACAUAUACAUAUAUACACACACACACACACAUAUAUAUACAUAUACACACAUUAUAUAUAUAUAUUUCAAAAUCUGCUAAGAAGAAACAGCCAUUCAGCCUGGCUAAACCCGUUUAAUCCCAGACGUUUAAAGCCUGCCAGGCUAAACCCGUUUAAUCCCAGACUUAUUUUUCAGCUGUUAGCAUUUAGCAAAUAGGCAUUUACACAUUUCGAGAGCGAUGGAAUGUAAAUCCAGAGUGCUCGAGAGUUUCAAUGAAAAAUCAAUUCUAGCAUGAACUUGGAUUGGUGGAUUGUUACCUAAAGAAAGGGGAAAAAAACGAAUCUGAAACAAUAAAGUUUACUCUGAAACCGA